rnacentral:rRNA from 1 species
GCUUGUCUCAAAGAUUAAGCCAUGCAUGUGUAAGUAUCAGAAGUCUGAACUUCAAAACUGCGAAUGGCUCAUUAUAUCAGUUAUAGUUUAUUUGAUGGUUCAUACUACUUGGAUAACCGUAGUAAUUCUAGAGCUAAUACAUGCGUCAAAACCCGACUCCUGGGAGGGUUGUAUUUAUUAGAUGGAAACCAAUGCGGGGCAACCCGGUAUAUGGUGAUUCAUAAUAACUUUCGGAUCGAUCUUCGGAUCGAUGCAUCAUUCAAGUUUCUGCCCUAUCAGCUUUGGAUGGUAGGGUAUUGGCCUACCAUGGCUUUAACGGGUAACGGAGAAUUAGGGUUCGAUUCCGGAGAGGGAGCCUGAGAAAUGGCUACCACAUCCAAGGAAGGCAGCAGG